rnacentral:tRNA from 1 species
GCCGAGGUGUUGGAACUGGUAGACAAGCACGGCUUAGAACCGUGUGCCGCAAGGCGUGAGGGUUCGAUCCCCUCUCUCGGCA